UUAAAAUUUCUUUGAAACCGUCUUUAAUUGCAUAAUAUUUUAUCCUAUGAAUAUACCGUUGUUUAACUCAUUUUUCUGCUGUUGAACAUUUUGGUUAUGUGCAGUCACUUUCAUUCAGUACUCCAUAAUGCUCUUACUUUUCUGUAGGUAGAAGCACUUGAAAAAACAAUCAGGACCAACCUGUCUUUCCAUGCUGGCAAGGUUGCGGAGCAAAGGGAACACUUAUACACUGUUGAUGGGAGUGUAAAUUAGUUCAACCAUUGUGGAAAGCAGUGUGGUGAUUCCUCAAAGAGCUAAAAACAGAACUACUAUUUGACCCAGCAAUCCCAUUACCAGGUCUGUGAGGUGAAUGGCUGCCCAGUAAUCCUACUGCCAGUAUUCAAUGAGAAUACACAUGCUCACUUUGUUCCUGCCUGUGUCAACCGUAGCAGCUUCGCAGUCUUAACCACUGGGUCUAACCUUCUUGGCCUUUUCCUUUUACCUCAACUCUGCUCAGUCUCGAACUUGCCCUUCAUUCCUGAC
rnacentral:lncRNA from 1 species